CCUACGGGAUGCUGCAGUGAGGAAUAUUGGUCAAUGGCCGGAAGGCUGAACCAGCCAUGCCGCGUGAAGGUCAGUGCCCUAUGGGCGUUAAACUUCUUUUGUGCGGGAGCAAUAAUGGUCACGUGUGGCCAGACGAGAGUACCGUACGAAUAAGCAUCGGCUAACUCCGUUCCAGCAGCCGCGGUAAUACGGGGGAUGCAAGCGUUAUCCGGAUUUAUUGGGUUUAAAGGGUGCGUAGGCUGUGAGGUAAGUCAGCGGUGAAAUGCCCCCGCUCAACGGGGUGAAGUGCCAUUGAUACUGCCUGGCUGGAAUGCGGAUGCCGUGGGAGGAAUGUGUGGUGUAGCGGUGAAAUGCAUAGAUAUCACACAGAACACCGAUUGCGAAGGCAUCUCACGAAGCCGCGAUUGACGCUGAUGCACGAAAGCGUGGGUAUCAAACAGGAUUAGAUACCCCAGUAGUC
rnacentral:rRNA from 1 species